ensembl:lncRNA
GAGCAAGAAAAGUCACAGCAGCAACAGUGGCUGUCAGGUGAAGAGAGAGAAGGUUGUUCUCUUUAUCUACAGUGAGAGAAGCAGUGGGCUCAGCCCCUGUUGCUCAGGGAGGCUCCCAGGAGGCUGGUGUUAAAGCCCAAGUGGGACAGCAGCAUAUGUUGUCAUGCAGGAAUGUCAUGCAGUAAUCAUCCGGAAGUCAGAAGAGUAGAGGAAAUCUCCAAAGGCAAGGGCCAGGAUUUUAUGAUCUCACUGCUUCUCCCUACUUGAAAUCUCUCUUUGGAGCCCAUUCUUGGCGAUCUGGGUUUAUUUAUGGAAAGCAACAAUUACAUUCUGCCUUCAUGUAGACCAGGGCCUGGGAUGGACAGGCAGGAUGUCUUAGGUCCCUGGAUAGAGAGUGUUUGAACAAGCCUCAAAUGGAAAGAGAUUGAACUCAGAUCCUUCCACUUGCGCAGCAGGAGGCGAAACCACUGAGCCAAAUCCCUGCCCCAUGAAGUAACUAUCUUACACAUACAGUUGGA